UUUGAUCUUGUUUUUGGGGAGUUUUUCGAUAAUUUUAAUGGUUUUUUUUUUCUUUUUUUUAUUCACGGGAUUCGUUCUUCAUUGCCUUUAGUUGGUUGAGUUGUUAGAGUUUUGGUACUAAAAAUGAUUGAAACCAAAAAAAGGGAAGCAUUACAAGUAGCAUGAUGAAGAUUUCUUCCUUCCCAAUGAAAACUUGCGUUACACCUCACAAAUUGCGAUGCCGAGGUUGAGAUUUCCCAUUGUAAUUUUCUUCACCUACUCAAAGUAUGCGAAAUCAUCGCUCUGUAUUUUCCGUAUACGUUCUGCAAUCUUUGUUUUGAUACAAUUGAUUUCAGUAGCACAGAAUGCGGGCUAAAAGGCAAAGGAGUUCAUCGACGUUAUAUGAUUCUGUUACUAAUGGUCCUGAAUAAUCAAUUUUCACCUGAUGGGGACAUGGUUGGAUAGCCGAGAUGAAGAAAAGGUUCAUGAGUUAGAAGCAGAAAGUGAUUCGAAACUAAAAGCAGGAAGUCACUUAUGAUAAUCACAGAUGCUGCCUGUGAUCUUACCAUGUCAUUGUUUAUUGCAGUUUCUUGAUGAAACGCCAUUGAGUAAUCAUGAGAUUGGGGUACAUCACUUGCAUGAAAAACAUCUGACCUAUCAAACUUGCUUUGCACCUGCUGAUCAUUUACAUAAAAGAAUCCAUGCCUAUUCAAUCCGUUUUGCUGCUGCUUCUGCUCCCUCCAAUAAUCAUAAACACCUUGAGGAACAUCUUGAGUCUCUUCUUUUGUUAGUUUAAAAGCACUAUUUGAAAAGGUGAAGCUGGAUGAAUCUGCAUCACUAAGUUGACUAAUUGAAGAAGGCUGGUUGUAUGACAGUGUAGAUGUAGAAUCUUUUCGCUUCGCCCAGGAAAAGCUGCUUGAUCCCGUGACUGGUGGUGGAGCUGUGAAAAUGUCACCCUGAGAUACAGUUGUUACUUGAGAAGUCUCUGACCUUGUAUCGAAGAAGGAUGAAUUCAGCUGCCCUUUAUGAGCAGCCCCUUCUCUCCCCUUGAGAUUGUUCGCAGUCAAACCAUGGUUCUUACUAGCAAACUGAGUAUUGUCUCGCGGUUCCUGCACACAUAUAUACAUAAACAAAACCUAGUAGUUAGCUCUUUGUGUUAACACCACACACAGACAGAGGCAUACAUUCUGAGAGAGAAGUAUAGACCUCUUUUGGCGCUGUUUUACUGAAAUUGUUGGGUUCCUGCAAAGCUUUACGAGAUCUUCUUGUUUUCUUGGAUA